CCGACCCUAGGUCAGGAAGGAUUAACCGUUGAGUUUAAGCAUAUCAAUAAGAGGAGGAAAAGAAACAUACAAGGAUUUUCUUAGUAACAGCGAGCAAACCGGGAACAACCUAGCCUUAGAAUCGGGUGGCUUCGUUAUCUAAAUUAUAGUCAUAAGAAUCAUCCUUAGCGGCGGACCAGGCCUAAGUCCCCUAGAAGGGGGCGCUAGAGAGGGUGACAUCCCUGUUGUGCCCAAGCCUGUCACAACACGAGACGCUGUCUACGAGUCAGGUUGUUCAGAAAUGCAGCCCAAAUUGGGUGGUGAAUUCCAUCUAAGACUAAAUACGGGAGAGAGAUCAAUAUCGAAUAAGUUCUGCGAGGGAAAGAUGAAAAGGACUUUGAAAAGAGAGUUAAAAAGUGCUUGAAAUUAUCGGGAGAAAAGAGGAUGGUUGCUGGUGAUGCACCUCGAUCAAAUAUGGAAUGAAGACGAGCUAGUCUGUCGAUCUACUUGAGGCGUGGAUCAGCAUGGAUUGGUGGGCAGACCAGGCUCUCGAUACGCUCGUGGAAUAUCGCCUCCUCGAUUGUGGCAGGGAGAGCGUGCCUUUGGAGUGAUUCGGUAUCUAUGUGCUCUGGACGCGGGCCUGUGGGCUCCCUAUUUGACCCUUCUUGAAACACAAAUCAAGGAGUCUAACAUAUGUGCGAGUCAAUGAGUGAGUAAACCCAUAAGGUGUAAGAAAGCUAAUUGGUGGGAUCCCCCUUGAGGGGUGCACCGCCGACCGAUCUUGAUCUUUUGAGAAGGGUUCGAGUGUGAUCAUACCUAUUGAGACACGAAAUAUAGUGAUCUAUGCCUGAGCAGGGCGAAGCCAUAGAAACUCUGGUGGAGACCCGUGAUACUGAUGUGUAAAUCGUUCAUCUAACUUGGGUGUAGGGGAUAAAUACCAAUCAAACCAUCUAGUAUUAGGUUUCCUCCAAGGUUUCCCUCAGGAUAGUUGGAGCUUCUGUACAAGUUCUAUCUGGUAAAGCCAAUGAUUAGGGGCCUCGGGGGUGCAACGCCCUCAACCUAUUCUCAAACUUUUAAUAGGUAAGAUGGCACGACUGCUUUGUUGAGCCACACCACAGAAUCAAGAGCUCCAAGUAGGCCAUUUUUAGUAAGCAGAACUGACUAUACGAGAUGAACUGGAAUUCGGGUUACAGUGCCAAACUGUUCACUAACCUAGAUCUCACAAAGGGUGUUGGUCGAUUAAGACAGCUGGAAAUGUGUAACAACUUACCUACCAAAUCAACUAGCCCAAAAAAUGGAUGGCACUUAAGCGCACGACCUACACCUGGCCGUCAGGGCAAGUGCAAGGCCCCAAUGAGUAGGAGGAAGCGGUGGUCUCUACAAAACCUUGGGCGUGAGCCUCUGUGGAGCUGUUGUCGGUGCAGAUCUUAGUGGUAGUAGCAAAUAUUUAAAUUAGAACUUUGAAGGCCUAAUAAAAGAAAGAUUCCAUGUGAACGACACUUGCACAUGGGUUAGUCGAUCCUAAAGGUCGGGGGUUCCCCGAUAGAUAAUGCAUUUCUCGCGUACUUCAAAAGAGAAUCGGGUUAAAAUUCCUUAAUUAGGAUAUGGCGGUCAACGACAAUGUUAGAAAGUUUUGAGAUAUCGGCAGGAGCCUCAGAAAGAGUUACCUUUUCUGCUUAAUAGCCUGGCCAUCCUAUAAUUGGCUCAGUCGGAGGUAGGGUCCAGCAGUUGGAAGAGCACUGCACGUUGCGUGGUGUCUGAUGCACUCCCAGUGGCACUUGAAAACUAGAGGAUCGAAUGCCGUCCAUGCCUGGUUGUACUCAUAACCGCAUCAGGUCUCCAUUAUGAACAUCCUCUAAUCGAUGGAACAAUGUAGACAAGUGAAGUUGGUAAAAUGGAUCUGUAACUUCGGAAAAAGGAUUGGCUUUGAAGUCCGGGAAUGGGGGUCCCAGCCUCUAACUCAUUGGUUGUCUAUGGACUGCUCGAGAUGCUCUCAUGGCGAGAGCAGGUCACCACAGCCAGUCGGGGGAUGGACUGAGAACAGUUCCUUUGGGGGCCUUCCCCGCGCAUCAAACAACCAACUCUUAACUGGUACGGUCAUAGGGAAUCUGACUGUUUAUUUAAAACAAAGCAUUGCGAUGGACCCAAUGGAUGUUCACACAAUAUGAUUUUAUCCCAAUGCUCUGAAUGUCAAACUGAAGAAAUUCAACCAAGCGUGGGUAAACAGAGUAACUAUGACUCUCUUAAGGUAUCCAAAUGCCUUGUCAUCUAAUUAGUGAUGCGCAUGAAUGGAUUAAUAAGAUUUCCACUGUCCCUAUCUAUUAUCCAUAAAAUCACCGUUAAAGGAGCUGACUUGGCAGAAAUCAACGGGGAAAGAAAACCCUGUUAAGCUUGACUCUAGUCCGACUUUGUGAAAUGACUUGAGAGGUGUAGUAUAAGUGGGAGUCGAAAGGCAAAAUUUAAAUACCACUAUUUUAAAGUUAUUUUACUUAUUUCGUGAAUCAGAAGUGGGGCAUUGCCCCUCUUUUU
rnacentral:rRNA from 1 species